rnacentral:rRNA from 1 species
GUGAGGAAUAUUGCGCAAUGGAGGCAACUCUGACGCAGCCAUGCCGCGUGCAGGAAGACGGCGCUACGCGUUGUAAACUGCUUUUAACCGGGAAGAAACACCAGGACGUGUCCUGGGUUGACGGUACCGGAGGAAUAAGCACCGGCUAACUUCGUGCCAGCAGCCGCGGUAAUACGAAGGGUGCAAGCGCUAUCCGGAUUCAUUGGGUCUAAAGGGUGCGUCGGCGGAGCGUCAAGUCAGUGGUGAAAUCCUGCAGCUUAACUGUAGACUUGCCAUUGUUACUGGCGCGCUUGAGUGCGCUUGAAGUGGGCGGAAUGUGCCGUGUAGCGGUGAAAUGCUUAGAUAUGGCACAGAACACCAAUUGCGAAGGCAGCUCACUAAGGCGAUACUGACGCUGAGGCACGAAAGCGUGGGGAUCGAACAGGAUUAGAUACCCUGGUAGUCC